rnacentral:rRNA from 1 species
UACGGAGGAUGCGAGCGUUAUCCGGAUUUAUUGGGUUUAAAGGGUGCGUAGGCGGAAGAUUAAGUCAGCGGUGAAAGUUUGGGGCUCAACCUUAAAAUUGCCGUUGAAACUGGUUUUCUUGAGUAUAAAUGAAGUGGGCGGAAUUUGUAGUGUAGCGGUGAAAUGCUUAGAUAUUACAAGGAACUCCAAUUGCGAAGGCAGCUCACUAAGCUAUAACUGACGCUGAGGCACGAAAGCGUGGGGAUCAAACAGG